AUUGAACGCUGGCGGCAUGCCUUACACAUGCAAGUCGAACGGUAACGGGCCUUCGGGUGCCGACGAGUGGCGAACGGGUGAGUAAUACAUCGGAACGUGCCCGAUCGUGGGGGAUAACGAGGCGAAAGCUUUGCUAAUACCGCAUACGAUCUACGGAUGAAAGCAGGGGACCGCAAGGCCUUGCGCGGACGGAGCGGCCGAUGGCAGAUUAGGUAGUUGGUGGGAUAAAAGCUUACCAAGCCGACGAUCUGUAGCUGGUCUGAGAGGAUGAUCAGCCACACUGGGACCGAGACACGGCCCAGACUCCUACGGGAGGCAGCAGUGGGGAAUUUUGGACAAUGGGCGCAAGCCUGAUCCAGCCAUGCCGCGUGCAGGAUGAAGGCCUUCGGGUUGUAAACUGCUUUUGUACGGAACGAAAAGCCUUCUUUUAAUACAGGAGGGUCAUGACGGUACCGGAAGAAUAAGCACCGGCUAACUACGUG
rnacentral:rRNA from 1 species